UACGGGGGGGCAAGCGUUGUUCGGAAUUACUGGGCGUAAAGGGCUCGUAGGUGGCCAACUAAGUCGGACGUGAAAUCCCUCAGCUUAACUGGGGAACUGCGUCCGAUACUGGAUGGCUUGAGUUUGGGAGAGGGAUGCGGAAUUCCAGGUGUAGCGGUGAAAUGCGUAGAUAUCAGGAGGAACACCGGUGGUGUAGACGGCUUUCUGGACCGACACUGACGCUGAAACACGAAAGCGUGGGUAGCAAACAGG
rnacentral:rRNA from 1 species